GGUACCCAGUGUGACCGCAGCACACACCAUCGGCCACAUUACCAGCUGAAUUUUGUAAAUAAAGCAGCUACGAGAAAGCCAUAACCGGCCCGCCAUCGGCGGCUGCAGCCAACAUAUUCGCCUCGAAUUCCUCUCGAAUCGUACUUCAGGCUCGCAACUAGACUUCUCGGAGCGUAAGUGAACCUCCGCAACCAGACUUCUCGGAGCGUAAGUGAACCUCCGCAACCAGACUUCUCGGAGCGUAAUUGAACCUCCGCAACCAGACUUCUCGGAGUGUUUUUGAACCUCCGCAACCACACUUCUCGGAGCAUUCUGGAUAUCUAUGGAAAGUCUGCGAGGUCUUUUACCUUGCCGCGGCCCGGGAGGAGCUUGCUUGAUACUCCUCAGACGGAGCCAAGCGUUUUUUUUUCAACUAUUAACGUCUACGUUACAGAAUGUCAAAAUCAGUAUAAGGGUUUUCUUACAUUAUUUACAUGCGACCAUAUUCAUUAUUUAUCUCAAAAACCAAAUUAAGGUUCCAGCUACCGGGAGAGCAUGGUCCGGGAUCGAUGACGACGAAGCCAAGCCCCGAGAGGGAAACCAACAAACGCUUCUGUUUGGGGAAACCAGCUGAAAUUAUUGGCGAUCUGAGGCCAGUCGAUGGUGUCACUAGGCUGGACUACUCUUACAGACUCAUGGAGCAGAUCUCACAGUUCUGGUAAAAGUCGAGCCACAGAGUCUGCAGUUGCGAUGCUGAAACGACGAAACCCGCGUCGCCUCUCACCUACAAGCAGUCGAGCCACGGAAUCUGUUGCGAUGCCAAGAAACCGCGUCCCCUUCCUCCCCUCUGACCUACAAGCUGUUAACCGUUAUGUACAGCCUGGUCAGGGUCCUGCGAGGCCCCGCAGCGGCUGCCGGUGGAGCAGCAACGGCCGGUGGGGCAGCACGGACCGGUGGAGUAGCACGGGCCGGUGAGGCAGCACGGACUGGUGAGGCAGCACGACUCGAAUUCCACUUUAACCUCCGCAACCACACUUCUUGGAGAGUUAUUGAACCUCCGCAACGAAUCUUCUUCUCGGGGGGGCAUGGCUUUUGAUUCAAUUAGUUGGUUUAAAUUGUUUAAAACUAAAUUAUUUAAAAGCUAAUUUAAACUUCAAUUAAAUAAACGCUCGGCGGGGAUGA